rnacentral:lncRNA from 12 species
CACAAAUGCUCCCUCUAAGUGAGGCUGAAUUACAGCCUCCUGUAGUGCAGUCUUGCACAAGGACAAACGAGGAGCAGAGAGGAACCUCCCUUCUCUCCCGUGGAGUGGAGCCUACAAUCAAGCAGCCAAGGCAGAGGAACAAGCCCUUGUCAGUGUGCAGGCACAGCCUGGCUGGCAGAGUACAUUUUCCUUAACAUGCCUAAUCCCACAAGUAUGUGGUGGCUUGCUCUGCAGAAACCUCAGCUUUUCAGGUGCUAGGAAAUAUGCAUGUUCCAUGUCACUUGAUAGUUUGCUCACAUCCCUGUCUCCUGGAGGAAGGCAGUUGCUGACCCUCUGAGCUUUAACCCACUCUGAACACACCCCCCCACCAUGCAAGGAAUAAUAAUGUACUUGUGAUUUCUUUAUAUUUUUGUGCUGUAAAUCCAGAAAAUGAGACCUGAAUUAUUAUUCUCCACUGUCAGACAUGCAGUCCUUGCUUUCCAG